rnacentral:lncRNA from 1 species
GUAAUGAGAGUCACUAUAUUUCUUAGCUCCAUUCCAAAAUAUUAACUGGGGAGCUGCUCAUUUAUAAUAGUGCCAAACUUCUGACAGACAGAAAUUAUAAAAGAGGCCCCAGAAAAGCAUCAGAAAAAAAGGGAAACUUUUAAACAGAAAUGGUAAUUUGAAAUACUGACCCUAGGUUUAAAAUUUAGAAAAGGCCUGUUUUCUGGAGCAGUCAUCUGGAUGGUCCAACAGCUCCCUCUACUCCUCCAAGAGGGAAACAUGAAACACAGCAGGGCUGUGUGGAAGUGUGAGCAGCCCAGGCUUGGGGAAAGCCACAUGUUUCCUUGUUCCAGCCAGGAGCUCCAAAAUGGCCUCGUCCGGGACAUGGACGGGGCAGGUGACUGUUUCACGCUGUCAUGGGACACAUCAACUUCCAUCCCUGCUUUACCAUAUUAAAUGCUCUACAGUGGAGCUUACUUGAAGAAACUGAAAAUUUGAGCAGGAAAACUUCAGCCAAAUCAAAUGUAAAGGAGUUUAAUUGAGCAAUGAACGAUUCGCGAAUCGGGCAGCCCCCAGAAUCACAGCAGAUUCCAACAGCAACCCCAAGGGUGCCUCGUGGUCAGAAUACAUUUAUAGGCAAAAAAGGGAAUCUGGUGCAUAUUCAUGAGGCUACGCUACCUUCAGACUAACGUGAGCCAUCGGUCCUAUUAAAUAACAUAACUCACCUAAAGCAGAGAAUCCAUGGACCCAGUAGAAGUAAAUUGCUGACCCAGUUAAAAUCUAUGGAGAAUGUGUCCUACGGCAUAUCCACGAAUAUACCUUCAAAAGGAAAGAGGUUAUGUCCAAGCGAAGAUGAGGAAUAUCUGAGGUGAAACUUC